AGGCCAAGCUGCCCCGGGGUAUCCACCAAGUGCGGCCCCACCUGCAGAACAUUGACAACGUGCCCCUGCUAGUGCCCCUUUUCACCGACUGCACCCCAGAGAGUGAGUGCUGUGGCCAUGGGUACUUGGGCAACCUGGUCCCUUCGGCUGAGCUCAGCCUGGGCCUGGGUACCCCGUGGGCUCUGGAGGGAUGUAGGUUUCCCAUGCAGGGAGUAAAGGAACCUGGGCUGGGAUCAGCUGGGGAAUCUUGUGGGUUGGAGUCAGAAGUGCCAAUGUUCACAUGAUCCCGCUGCCGGGGGUGGGAUUGUUUCAAAGAGGGGCCCACCUCCCAUUGCCUCCUGCUCUCCUGUCCCAUGGGUCUCUGCCCAGUGCCCACUUGGUGCUCUGCCUGCCUGACUCUGGUGCCCUUAUACGCUGUCCUCAGCCAUGUGUGAGAUGAUAAAGAUCAUGCAAGAGUACGGGGAGGUGACCUGCUGCCUGGGCAGCUCUGCCAACCUGCGGAACAGCUGCCUCUUCCUCCAGAGCGACAUCAGGUCAGGGCGGGACCCUGGAGCCUGCGGGCCAGCCUCUACCUCCCAGACCGGAGGAUCAGAUGGGGCUGGGGGUGUGUACUAUAGCCGACCUCGCCCUGGCUGGGACCAAUGCACCUGGGCAUGGUGGGAGAAGAGGGUGGGGUGCCCAGUCCUGUGGGAGAUACAGCUGAAGUGUGUGUGUCCCCCACCCUGAGCAGCAUUGCCCUGGAUCCCCUGUACCCAUCCCGUUGCUCCUGGGAGACCUUUGGCUACGCCACCAGCACCAGCAUGGCCCAGGCCUCGGAUGGCCUUUCUCCCCUGCAGCUGUCAGGGCAGCUCAACAGCCUGCCCUGUUCCCUGACCUUUCGCCAGGAGGAGACCAUCAGCAUCAUCCGGCUUAUCGAACAGGCUCGGCAUGCCACCUAUGGCAUCCGUAAGUGCUUCCUCUUCCUGCUGCAGUGCCAGCUGACUCUUGUGGUCAUCCAGUUCCUUUCUUGCCUGGUCCAGCUGCCGCCACUCCUGAGUACCACCGACAUCCUGUGGCUGUCCUGCUUUUGCUACCCUCUGCUCAGCAUCUCUCUGCUGGGGAAGCCCCCCCAUAGCUCUAUCAUGUCUAUGGCAACGGGGAAAAACCUCCAGUCCAUUCCCAAGAAGACCCAGCACUACUUCCUGCUCUGCUUCCUGCUCAAGUUCAGCCUCACCAUCAGCUCCUGCCUCAUCUGCUUUGGCUUCACACUGCAGAGCUUCUGUGACAGCUCCCGGGACCGCAACCUCACCAACUGCUCCUCCGUCAUGCUGCCCAGCAACGACGACAGGGCUCCAGCCUGGUUUGAGGACUUUGCCAAUGGACUGCUGUCGGCUCAGAAGCUCACGGCCGCCCUGAUUGUCCUGCACACUGGUGAGAGGGCUCCCUGGGAGGGCGUGGAUGAUGGUGGGAGAGGAGCCCCACUGUGGAAGUCUGACCCCCACAUCGCCCCACUUUCCCCAGUCUUCAUUUCCAUCACCCAUGUGCAUCGCACCAAGCCCCUGUGGAGAAAGAGCCCCUUGACCAACCUCUGGUGGGCCGUGACAGUGCCUGUGGUGCUGCUGGGUCAGGUGGUCCAGACGGCUGUGGACCUGCAGCUGUGGACACACAGGGACAGCCACGUCCACUUUGGCCUGGAGGACGUGCCCCUGCUGACAUGGCUCCUGGGCUGCCUGUCCCUGGUCCUUGUGGUGGUGACCAAUGAGAUCGUGAAGCUACAUGAGAUUCGGGUCCGAGUCCGCUACCAGAAGCGACAGAAGCUGCAGUUUGAAACUAAGCUGGGCAUGAACUCUCCCUUCUGAGCCACUGGCUGUGGUGGCUGUAGUUCCCCCAUCCCUGGGGCUAAAGCCAGACCCAUUUCUGAACAGGGGAGUUUGUAUCAUGAAUGUUUCCAGGUUUGCUCCUGCACCCGUGGCACUGGAAACCCAGCUCCCCGUGUCAGACCCCGCUGUCUUCCUGAGCCCUGGGGCUCACUGUGGAGGAGCUGACGGCCUGGGCCCUUGGCCAGUCCUGGCUCUUCCCUGGGCCUCACCAGGGACACUCUUGAAUGUAUGGCCUCAGGCGCUCCCUAGAGGGGCCCUCAACCCCCUCACCUGUGAGCUACCCCCUUUAGGGAUCCCUUGCCCCCUUGGAGAUCCCUUGCCCCCCAGUGCCUCUGCUCGUGGGUCCCUGGACACGGCCUUGAAGCCAACCUUCUUUGGAGGAGCAAGAGCAGCAGCCUUGGCCGACGCGUCCAACUCCCAAGGCUGCUGUGGAGGGCAGGGGGGUGGUGCUUGCCUGGAUGUGGCCCCGAGUGCCUCCCCUCCCUCUGUCUGUGGGGGAGUCUCCCGCCUGAACCUGAAGAUGGAGCAGGGCCCCCGCUUCGCCCUGGAGCCUCUUCCUGUGCCUGGCUCAAGCUGGCUGCCUGUCAGUCUUGGGGAAUCUGGCCCAGGUCUCCUCAGCCUCUGCCCCAGUUCUGGGAGAAGUUUCUACUGGUGUAUAUUUUUUACUGGAAAUGAGCCUUUUAGGAAUGAAUGUAGACUGGUUUGUAUUAAAAUGUGUCAAUUGCU
rnacentral:sRNA from 1 species